CGUCAGGAUGAACGCUGGCGGCAUGCCUAACACAUGCAAGUCGAACGGCAGCGCGGGGGCAACCCUGGCGGCGAGUGGCGGACGGGUGAGGAAUGCAUAGGAAUCUGCCCGGUUGUGGGGGAUAACGUAGGGAAACUUACGCUAAUACCGCAUACGACCUUCGGGUGAAAGUGGGGGACCUUCGGGCCUCACGCGAUCGGAUGAGCCUAUGCCCGAUUAGCUAGUUGGCGGGGUAAGAGCCCACCAAGGCGACGAUCGGUAGCUGGUCUGAGAGGAUGAUCAGCCACACUGGGACUGAGACACGGCCCAGACUCCUACGGGAGGCAGCAGUGGGGAAUAUUGGACAAUGGGCGCAAGCCUGAUCCAGCAAUGCCGCGUGUGUGAAGAAGGCCUUCGGGUUGUAAAGCACUUUUGUUCGGGAAGAAAUCCGUGUGGUUAAUACCUGUACGGGAUGACG
rnacentral:rRNA from 1 species